UACGUAGGGUGCGAGCGUUAAUCGGAAUUACUGGGCGUAAAGCGUGCGCAGGCGGUUUUGUAAGCCAGAUGUGAAAGCCCCGGGCUAAACCUGGGAAUGGCAUUUGGGACUGCAAGGCUGGAGUGUGGCAGAGGAGACUGGAAUUCCUGGUGUAGCAGUGAAAUGCGUAGAUAUCAGGAGGAAUACCGAUGGCGAAGGCAGGUCUCUGGGCUGACACUGACGCUCAUGCACGAAAGCGUGGGGAGCAAACAGG
rnacentral:rRNA from 1 species